UCCGUAGGUGAACCUGCGGAAGGAUNUUA
rnacentral:rRNA from 1 species